CCUACGGGAGGCAGCAGUGAGGAAUAUUGGUCAAUGGACGAGAGUCUGAACCAGCCAAGUAGCGUGAAGGAUGACUGCCCUAUGGGUUGUAAACUUCUUUUAUCUGGGAAUAAAAUGUUCCACGUGUGGGGUUUUGUAUGUACCAUAUGAAUAAGGAUCGGCUAACUCCGUGCCCGCAGCCGCGGUAAUACGGAGGAUCCGAGCGUUAUCCGGAUUUAUUGGGUUUAAAGGGAGCGUAGGUGGAUUGUUAAGUCAGUUGUGAAAGUUUGCGGCUCAACCGUAAAAUUGCAGUUGAAACUGGCAGUCUUGAGUACAGUAGAGGUGGGCGGAAUUCGUGGUGUAGCGGUGAAAUGCUUAGAUAUCACGAAGAACUCCGAUUGCGAAGGCAACUUACUGGACCGCAACUGACAUUGAGGCUCGAAAGUGUGGGUAUCAAACAGGAUUAGAUACCCCAGUAGUC
rnacentral:rRNA from 1 species